rnacentral:tRNA from 1 species
GCCUUCAUAAUGUAGUGGUCAGCACGCUGGGCAUGUAUUCCAGAGGCCCGUGGUUUGAGUCCCGUCGAAGGCA